CUUGUUAUAGCCAUAAGUUUGGGUCUACUGAAAAGUUCAUGAAACAAGAGAUCAAGCACAGAAGAGAAAGGGGGUAUUUUUACUGGAUUCACUCUUACCCACCUGACCAAAUUCAUUCGCAGUCACCAUAACCGAAUUCUCGGAUGAUUCUUCAAUGGGAAUUAUCCUUGAGCUCAUGCAGAAUAAAUAUUUAGAUGUGCUUUUCUGGUCAUCAAUGAACCUUCUCGGCCACCAUUUUUAUGUGUAAAAAAGUGGCUAAAAAUAUGAAUAGAAGUUCGGAUCUAAUACCAACUGAGAUUGGACAAGAUACUCAAAGUCCAGAUCAACUAGGCAAAUGUGCAAAUCAGAGUCGUAUUCUACUCGAAGGAUGCUUUGAGAGAAAGACAAUUUGACAAACGGGUUAUACAGGUUUUAGUAAACAUUUUGUUGAAAAAUGAUUUGUUACACUUAAUAGAUUCUUUCAUCUAGAAACCAAAAUUCCACUGCUUGGAUUUCAUGUACUCUACUUCCAAAAUUUUCUCGAGCAUUUCUUGAGAUGAAAAAUAGCUAUAUUUUUACAUCGAAUCAUAUGAUGUGAAAUAUUACAGCUUGUUUUCUUGAGAUAAUGUCUUUCAAAGGGACUUUGCACAUUUUUCUGUUUUGUUGCAAUCUAAUAUAUGCCAAUAUGUGGUUUCUUUAGUGUUUCUCUAUAUAUCACCUCCUAUAUUACUGUCUAGUUCAUUUAUCCAUCCAUAUAAACUUUUGUUUUUGUACAAAUUGGUGUAGAAAUAUAUGGGAGGAAAUUAGUGUUCUAAAUUGUUUUUUCUGCAUUCCCUAGUGCAAACAAGAAUGUAGCUAAUUCUGUUUAUAUUUCAUUU